AACGAUAAAGACUGUUCAACCAACAAGUAAAAAACAGUCCGAAAAGGCGAAAAGAAGAGCAUUAAAUCCAGAAAUAAAUAUAAUAAAAAAAACCGAAUAAGUGAGAAAUGAGAAUGAGAUUUACCGAAUCCAAAGACGAGCCAGUUUCUGGGUUCUGUUUGGAUGGUGGAAUUCUGAUGGAAACCCUCAGAAAAAUCCGUCGAACAAAUUUGAGAAUCGAAGUCUAGGAAGAAAAGAAAAAAAAUGCAGAUGGAAACUGAGUUCAGUGGGUGUUUGUUUGUUUCCAUUGAACUGUGAUUACGUGGCAGGGAUUUUGGAUUUAGAUUUUCAGUUGCGUUGGCGACGGCUUUGGCGCACGUGGGGCCUCUUCCUUCGGUGACCUUCUUUAUGUAUUUUUUCUCUUUUAUUUAACUUUAGAAUAAAUAUUAAAACUACAUAUUUUUAUUUAAUAUGUUAUUUAAUAUGUUAACUUUUAUUUUAUGUAAUUAUAUACUUGAACUUUUAAUUAUGAUUUAAAUAUAUGUGUAAAAUUUUAAUUUUAA